AGGAUUGUGAUACAUGAUAAAUAUCUGGAUCUAUACAAAAUAUUGAUAAAAUGUUCUAAAUAGUAAAGAUGUGAGAAUAUAAAAAUUCAUUUAAAAAUACUUCUGAAAGAUAAUUGAGUGAAGAAAAAUAGUGACAGUACAGUGGGGAGACUGUAACAUAAUUAGGUGUAAAACAUAACAAAAUAAUAGCACAAAGAAUUAGUGGAAGGAAGUGAUGUGUGGCUGUUAAAACAUAUUAAAAUGAUAUAUUCCUAAAAUUUAGACUGUAAGAACUUAAACAUGUAUAUGGUAAAUCCUAGAAAAAAUAGUAAAAACAAUUCAGAAAGCUCUGUCUUAUAGGCCAAUUGUGAUGAUAGAAUUGAAUAAUUAAAAUGCUCACUUAACACAAAAGGACAGUAGAAAAAGGAAGAGAAAAAGAAUAUAUAGAUACUAAUGCGAUGGAGCCUGGUGGACGGAAGUGGCUGUUGGAGGCUUUAAGUUUGCCACAGUUUACAAGGCCAGAGAUAAGAAUACCAACCAAAUUGUCGCCAUUAAAAAAAUCAGACUUGGACAUAGAUCAGAAGCUAAAGAUGGUUAUAAUAAAGGAUAAUAGUCUUGUGCUGACACCAUCACACAUCAAAGCCUGCAUGUUGGUGACUCUUCAAGGAUUAGAAUAUUUACAUCAACAUUGGAUCCUACAUAGGGAUCUAAAACCAAACAACUUGUUGCUAGAUGAAAAUGGAGUUCUAAAACUGGCACAUUUUGGCCUGGCCAAAUCAUAUGGGAGCCCCAGUAGAGCUUAUACACAUCAGGUUGUAACCAGGUGGUAUCGGGCCCCUGAGUUACUAUUUGGAGCUAGGAUGUAUGGUGUGAGUGUGGACAUGUGGGCUGUUGACUGUAUAUUAGCAGAGUUACUUCUAAGGGUUCCUUUUUGUGUCAGGAGAUUCAGACCUUGAUCAGCUAACAAGAAUAUUUGGGUACACCGACUGAGGAACAGUGGCUGGACAUGUGUAGUCUUCCAGAUUAUGUGACAUUUAAGAGUUUCCCUGGAAUCCCGUUGCAUCACAUCUUCAGUGCAGCAGGAGACGACUUCUAGAUCUCAUAGAAGGCUUAUUCUUAUUUGAUCCAUGUGCUUGAAUUACGGCCACGCAGGCACUGAAAAUGAAGUAUUUCAGUAAUCGGCCAGGGCCAAUACCUGGAUGUCAGCUGCCAAGUCCCAACUGUCCAGUGGAAACCUUAAAGGAGCAAUCAAAUCCGGCUUUGGCAACAGAAAGGAAAAGAACGGAGGCCUUGGAACAGGGAGGAUUGCCCAAGAAACUAAUUUUUUAAAGAGAACACUAGACAACAUUUUACUACUGAAGGAAAUAGUCAAAAAGGCAAAUAAUGGAAAAAUAGUAAACAUUGAGUAAAUGCUGUAGAAGUGAAUUUGUAAAUAUUCUACACAUGUAAAAUAUAUAAAACUAUGGGUUAUUUUUAUUAAAUGUAUUUUAAAAUAA